rnacentral:rRNA from 1 species
ACUCAGUCAGUUUAGCACAUAAACGGCGAAACUGCGAAUGGCUCAUUAAAUCAGUUAUCGUAUAUUUGAUAGUACCUACUACAUGGAUAACCGUGGUAAUUCUAGAGCUAAUACAUGCUUAAAACCCCGACUUCGGAAGGGGUGUAUUUAUUAGAUUAAAAACCAAUGCCCUCCGGGGCUCACUGGUGAUUCAUAAUAACUUCUCGAAUCGCAUGGCCUUGUGCCGGCGAUGGUUCAUUCAAAUUUCUGCCCUAUCAACUUUCGACGGCUGGGUCUUGGCCAGCCGUGGUUACAACGGGUAACGGAGGGUUAGGGCUUGACCCCGGAGAAGGAGCCUGAGAAACGGCUACUACAUCCAAGGAAGGCAGCAGGCGCGCAAAUUACCCAAUCCCGACUCGGGGAGGUAGUGACAAUAAAUACUGAUACAGGGCUCUUUUGGGUCUUGUAAUUGGAAUGAGUACAAUUUAAAUCCCUUAACGAGGAACAAUUGGAGGGCAAGUCUGGUGCCAGCAGCCGCGGUAAUUCCAGCUCCAAUAGCGUAUAUUAAAGUUGUUGCAGUUAAAAAGCUCGUAGUUGAACCUUGGGCCUGGCUGGCCGGUCUGCCUCACCGCAUGCACUGGUCCGGCCGGGCCUUUCCCUCUGGGGAGCCGCAUGCCCUUCACUGGGUGUGCCGGGGAACCAGGACUUUUACUGUGAAAAAAUUAGAGUGUUCAAAGCAGGCAUAUGCUCGAAUACAUUAGCAUGGAAUAAUAGAAUAGGAACGUCGCGGUUCUAUUUUGUUGGUUUCUAGGACCGCCGUAAUGAUUAAUAGGGACAGUCGGGGGCAUCAGUAUUCAAUCGUCAGAGGUGAAAUUCUUGGAUCGAUUGAAGACUAACUACUGCGAAAGCAUUUGCCAAGGAUGUUUUCAUUAAUCAGGAACGAAAGUUAGGGGAUCGAAAACGAUCAGAUACCGUUGUAGUCUUAACAUAAACUAUGCCGACAAGGGAUCGGGCGGGGUAUUUCUUGACCCGUCGGAACUUACCCGAAAGAAAGUUUUGGGGUUCGGGGGGGAGUAGGUCGCAGGG